rnacentral:rRNA from 1 species
AUGUCUAAGUCAGUUAAUGAGGGAAGCUUGAACGGGGUGAGCAUUUGUCGGGGUGCACCGGAGAUUUCUCACCUCCUAUUUGCGGAUGACACCAUGCUGUUUUUUGAAGCUUCAGGCCAGCAGGCGAAUGUUGUUAAAGGCUUGUUGAACACUUAUUCCUCGGCGACGGGUCAACUCAUAAACCCCGAGAAGUGUUCCAUCCUUUUUUCUGACAAUUGCGAAGGGUCAAUUGCGGAGGAGAUCAAGAAUAUAUUGGAGGUAACACAGCAAGUGUUUGAACCAAAAUACCUUGGCCUACCGGUUCGUGAAGGAAGAGUCCAUAAGGGGCAAUUUGAGACAUUGCAAGAUAGACUGAGGAAAAGACUUAUUGAUUGGAGUGAACAAUACGUAUUGGUUGGAAAUAAAGAGAUUCUCAUUAAGGCUGUGGCUCAGGCGAUACCCACCUAUGUUAUGAGUGUGUUCAGACUACCUGCCUCAGAGUGUGAUGAUCUAACCAAGAUGAUGCGGCAGUAUUGGUGGGGGUGGAAAAUGCCAAGAGGAAGAUGGCAUGGCUAA